GGAGGGAUGGCCGAGUGGACGAAGGCGGCGGUCUUGAAAACCGCUGUGGGCCUUGCGCCCACCGUGGGUUCGAAUCCCACUCCCUCCG
rnacentral:tRNA from 1 species